ACACCACGCAUCCGCCCGCCGUGCUGCCAGGUGAGCCGACUCCUGUUCCCCAUUCUGCUGCGAGGGCCUCGGGGUCAGGUUUCCCAAACAGCCCCAGAACAGGGUGCAGCUGCACCCCAAGCUCCUGCCUGCAGAAGGGAUGUGCCUGCAGGCUGCUGCUCCUCUCUGCAAAGGAGCACCUGACCUGCAGGUGUGCGCCUGCGCUGCUCCAUCACCAACCACGCAGUGUGACUCGAGGUUUGCAUGGUGUAUUGGCACCCGAAGAGCAGCCCAGAAUGGUGUGAGGGGGAACACCCAGUGUUUAGCAAAGGAGAUAAGGUCCCCUUGGGUGCUCCAGGUGAUGCCCCAGUUCACCUUCGCUUGCUUCUGCGGGCUGCAUGGCUUCUGCAAGAUGAAGAGGAAGAAGGAGGAACACAGUGCAGAGCAGGAGACAGCGGUGUGAGCAGCAGGGACAGGAGUGGGACACCGGAGCUGCAGGGGGGCAUUGGCUGCCCCCUUUCCUGCCACCUCUACAGGGAUCCCUGUGCUGCGGAGACAUCUGCCUGGCCAGGAGGGAGCUGAAUCAUGGGAAUGCCCAAACUUGGAGGCACCAGCCGGCGUUGCAGCCAUUAUUGGGGUGCUGCAGCCAUUAUUGGGGUGCUGCAGCCAUUAUUGGGGUGCUGCAGCCACCCGGCCACGUGCGCUGAGCCCUCUGCACCCCAACAGCUGCUGUCGGAGGAGGAUUCCCCACCGCCCUGCCCUCACCCCAGCACUGCUCUGCGGACAAACCCUAAAGGGGCUUCCAAAAUCCAGGGCCAGACCUUGUCCUGCAUGGAUUAAUAGUGCUGGGGAGGGGGGCUGCCCCAGGGUGGUAAGUGCUCUCACAGCUGCGGAAUUGGCUGAACGUAC
rnacentral:lncRNA from 7 species